UGAGGAAUAUUGGGCAAUGGACGCAAGUCUGACCCAGCCAUGCCGCGUGCAGGAUGACUGCCCUAUGGGUUGUAAACUGCUUUUGUAUUCCAAGAAUACUCGAUACGUGUAUUGAGAUGACGGUAGAAUAUGAAUAAGCAUCGGCUAACUCCGUGCCAGCAGCCGCGGUAAUACGGAGGAUGCAAGCGUUAUCCGGAUUUAUUGGGUUUAAAGGGUGCGUAGGCGGGGAAUUAAGUCAGUGGUGAAAGUCUGGCGGCUUAACCGUAGAAUUGCCAUUGAUACUGAUUUUCUUGAGUAUAGUUGAAGUAGGCGGAAUGUGUAAUGUAGCGGUGAAAUGCUUAGAUAUUACACAGAACACCGAUUGCGUAGGCAGCUUACUAAGCUAUUACUGACGCUGAGG
rnacentral:rRNA from 1 species